AGAGUUUGAUCCUGGCUCAGGACGAACGCUGGCGGCGUGCUUAACAUAUGCAAGUCGAACGGAAAGGCCCUUCGGGGUACUCGAGUGGCGAACGGGUGAGUAACACGUGGGUGAUCUGCCCUGCACUUUGGGAUAAGCCUGGGAAACUGGGUCUAAUACCGAAUAUGACCAUGCACUUCCUGGUGUGUGGUGGAAAGCUUUUGCGGUGUGGGAUGGGCCCGCGGCCUAUCAGCUUGUUGGUGGGGUAAUGGCCUACCAAGGCGACGACGGGUAGCCGGCCUGAGAGGGUGACCGGCCACACUGGGACUGAGAUACGGCCCAGACUCCUACGGGAGGCAGCAGUGGGGAAUAUUGCACAAUGGGCGCAAGCCUGAUGCAGCGACGCCGCGUGAGGGAUGACGGCCUUCGGGUUGUAAACCUCUUUCAGCACAGACGAAGCGCAAGUGACGGUAUGUGCAGAAGAAGGACCGGCCAACUACGUGCCAGCAGCCGCGGUAAUACGUAGGGUCCGAGCGUUGUCCGGAAUUACUGGGCGUAAAGAGCUCGUAGGUGGUUUGUCGCGUUGUUCGUGAAAACUCGCAGCUUAACUGUGGGCGUGCGGGCGAUACGGGCAGACUUGAGUACUGCAGGGGAGACUGGAAUUCCUGGUGUAGCGGUGGAAUGCGCAGAUAUCAGGAGGAACACCGGUGGCGAAGGCGGGUCUCUGGGCAGUAACUGACGCUGAGGAGCGAAAGCGUGGGGAGCGAACAGGAUUAGAUACCCUGGUAGUCC
rnacentral:rRNA from 1 species